rnacentral:rRNA from 1 species
CCUACGGUCGGCAGCAGUGGGGAAUAUUGGGCAAUGGGCGCAAGCCUGAUCCAGCAACGCCGCGUGAAUGAAGAAGGAUUUCGGGUUGUAAACUUCUUUUGUCAGGGAAGAGUAGAAGACGGUACCUGACGAAUAAGCCACGGCUAACUACGUGCCAGCAGCCGGGGUAAUACGUAGGUGGCAAGCGUUGUCCGGAUUUACAGGGUGUAAAGGGCGUGUAGCCGGGUUGAACAGUCAGAUGUGAAAUCCUGCGGCUUAACCGCAGAACUGCAUUUGAAACUGUUGAUCUUGAGUACGGGAGAGGCAGACGGAAUUCCUAGUGUAGCGGUGAAAUGCGUAGAUAUUAGGAGGAACACCAGUGGCGAAGGCGGUCUGCUGGACAGCAACUGACGGUGAGGCGCGAAAGCGUGGGGAGCAAACAGGAUUAGAUACCCCAGUAGUC